UGGGAAAUCGGCCUUGUGCAACCUGCCAGCCACCCCUGCCCUCCCCCGCCGCCCCGCCCCCUGCUGGCUUUUCGAUUAGCAGCCUGUCCUGGGAGCGAAGAGGAGCCCAGCUGCCCCCGAGGAAGGGAGAAAUGACAGAGGAGAGUCAGCUGGCCCAACAGUCACACCCUGGCCUUCAACUCACCCUUUUAUGUAAAAUAUAUAUUUACUGGGGCACCUGGGAGGGCUCAGUCGGUUAAGCGUCCGACUUCAGCUCAGGUCAUGAUCUCGCAGUUCGUGGGUUCAAGCCCUGCGUCGGGCUCCGUGCUGACAGCUCAGAGCCUGGAGCCUGCUUCUGAUUCUGUGUCUCCCUCUCUCUCUGCCCCUCCCCAGCUUGCAGCCUGUCUCUGCCUCUCUCAUUCUCUCUCUCAAAGAAUAAACAUUUUUUUAAUUUAAAAAAUAAAAUAUAUAUUUACUGAUUGACCCAGUAAAAUAGAGCAAAAAGUAAACGCUUGUUUACAUGAUAUGUGGUUUUAUAUGUUUUUUAGGGCCAGCAGGAUGCACUAGAGGUAGUUUGUGCGAAAAUGCGAUAGCUUUUAGUCUCCAGCAAUGUUUCCUGUACCUGUAGCUCUUAGUCUCAGUCUCACUGUGCGAUUGGUAGCAACUCCGUUCGCAGUGAGCAAGCCCCGUCCAGAUCAUAUGAAGACCAGCAGAGCCCGGGUAAGAUCGGCGUGCUCUCCAGAACUCCGAGCAUGGGAUUAUGGAAAUUUCCGUAGGAAAGAGCUUCUUCAUGCCGUUCCCAGUUGAGGGACAUUCUUGAUUUUCAGUUGCUUGCUACGGAUCUUCCUGGCACACCUUCAUUUUUCUACCGACAGGGUUUACACUAGUUGGCCUUUAAUUUUAUAAUUAGGAAGGGGAGGUUUAAACGCCUCCCCCGAUUAGGAAUGUUAAGUAAUUGUCUUUCUAGAACUGCAGUAAAAAAUAUCAGCGAUUUGCAGAGUUGCAGUGUGGGCGUUGGCAGGAAGCUGGGUCGCUGCCGGGACUCCUGGGUGUGCGGUUCCGAAGUGCAUGUCAGGAUGACUAAUAGUUGGACCGCCCUGGCCGUGCGGCUAAAUAAAAGCUGCAUCGAACAUUCUCGGCUACCCGUGAGACUCGACCACUCUGUCAUGCGAAGACUAUGCCCAAGAGCUCAAUUAUGUUCAAAUAAGGCUGCACGGAGGGCUGUCAGAAGGGGAGUCGGCUGGAAACCAAGGUCCUCAAACUGAAUUACUCCCCUGCUCCAGGUGGCUGAUGAUGGUGAUUAUUACUUCUUACACCGUACCCGGGAGCUGGGUAGGAAGUAAGUCCCCUCGCCCUCUCUCUGCCUGUCUCUGUCUCUCUGGGAGUGUGUGUAUCUCUGUAUAUUUCCCAGAGCAUACCACGCAAUAGUGUCAUCCCAUUUCACAGAUAGAGAUACUGAGGUUUCGUGAGGUUAUGGUCCUUUCCCAAGACCAGCCGGCCAGGAAACAGCAGGCUGAGCAUUCAGUCCCGCCCUCUCAAAUGCCAAAGACCAAGGUUUCCAUCACCACCCCCCUGCUUUCUGUCUUGUCCAGGCUCUCCCGAGAGCCUUCUGUGCAUUCCGUGAGAUGCACUUGAAAAUGAAGUUGCAUUUAUGAAAUGGAGACAGAACUUUCUUACAAUUCAGAGACACUAAAGCUAUAAACUGUGCUAUAAUCCUGAGCAAACAAAAGUAACCAUUUUGAAUUGCUUUCAAGAUAUGAGACAGAUGGCCUGUAUUUAUUUUUAAUGUUUAAGAAGAUAGAAAAAGCAAUUGGGGAUGUGACAUCCUGCAUUAAUUGGCAAGCAUCACCUAAUGUACAUAGUUAAGACACAAAGAGAGGAAAAUUAGGUCCAUGCAUCACACAAACGAGGCAAUGCAACAAAGUGUAUUUAACUAGGUUUAUUUUAUAACAUGGUCUCUCUGUUUCACUCUAAGUAACUUUAAUGAGGAUUCUCUAAAUGUCUGUGAGUAAAAAGGAGCCUAAGUCAGAGUCUGGAUGCCACAUGUCCUACGGGAGCCAUGCUGGGCUGAGCAGUCACCGCAGAACUUUCAAUAAAAGCAGAUUUAACCAGAAUGUCCACGGUCACUGUCUGUUCCUCCCAACUUUCCAGGCCCCUUGCGCUGACUUCCCUUUACAUAAUCUGUACCAAGAAAAAAAGAAAAGAAAAGAAAACCCAAAGAUAUCAUAUGAUCUGGAACAGUUCCUUAAAUUAAGAGCCCCCAAUUCCAAGCUGCCAUAAACAAUGAUUAACUUUCAAAAAGGCUCAGUAGAUAAUGGGAGAGUGCCCCCCACUGCGCGUCGGCGCUUUCCGCAGCUCUGUGCAGUGCUGGGCGCCUCGGCACGUUUGGGGGUGACCUGCAUGUACCAGCUAAGCACACUUCUGUUCUCCUGCGUUUCUUCAGUUUCACAUUACCACACUUUGCCUUAGUUGUGCAAGACUUCCUUUCAGACGUGCCACAUAGCUGAUGGCCUGUGCGCGCUUUGUCAGGGAAGGUUCUGUGGAAGCAGGCGGUGAUGUUGGGGGCGCUUUUCCGCUUGUGCAGGGGAGGGGAUGGGCCAGAGGAGGGGGGAGGGGACAGGUGGAACAGCCCCGAAGGGGUUGCCUCCUCUCUCCGCUCUGAGACCGGAAUGUGAAAGCCCCGUUCCAAAUCGUUCCUUUCACCGUCCCCCGAAACAGCUCCCUUCUGCACAGCUCCAAAGUGCCUCGUGUCUCUCCAUGAGACAUACUUUAUGUGCCUAUGUUUUAACUGUACAAAUGUAACUCCUUAUGGUAAAACCACCUUCGGGGGGAUUCUGAUCUACAGGUCGUUCAGUUAAGUAAGUGAAAGAGAACAUUGGUGUCCAUUCCAGAUGUAAAAUACCGGCCUAUAGGCAUCCUGUUCAGGGACCCAUCUGGCACCGGGCCCGACAGGAAGGUGGGGACGGUCAGCGGAGGCUCUCUCGGACAACUGGGCAGCGGCCACUGAAGGUCCAGCUGUUCUGGGGCUGCUCCUGCAGCAUCCAGGACCCCCGAAUGAUCUACCUAAGGGAGCGGUAAGAGCGGCAGGGGCCCUUGACCGGGUGGCACGGCCACUUGCCUCCUUGUGCCUGAGGUUUGUCCAGUCUCGGGCUGCACCACACUCAGACCUGCAGUUUGUCCAGAGCAGGGACAGGUGGGAAGCACCUGCAGACUCGCUGUGACCAGGAAAGUGGAUGGGGUUUGCGAGAGGAAGGCAGCCAGCGGCCACGGGCUCUGGGGCAUCAGUCACGCCCCGCCCACUGACCUUCCUGUGCCUAGGUCAUCAGGAGCCUUGCCUUUUAAGGACCUGAGGAAUUCCAUGACAGCAGGAGGGCACCUGCCCGGCAGGCACCUGCGCAAGAACGUGGGAAAGCUGCUGUCCAGAUGCCCCGGGGCCCUUCCUUCAAGCUGUGUGUUCCCUCCGCCCGGUUCCCCGUGACCCAGUCUGGGAGUUACCGAGUUUUGAGGGAGUUCUAGCAAUUGUACUGACCCUCCUGUGUUCUGGGGAACCUGCGGGGAGCCUUCCCACGGAGAACUUUACAAAUAAGAAGAUUCAUUAGUUCCCAGCUCGUGGUGAUGCUUUCUUCAAUCCUUUAAAUUCUGUGUUUCUCAUCUCCAAAAUGGGAAUCACGGACAUCCUCUUGGGGUUGUUGACGGUCGAGAGAAAAGACACGUUGGAGAGCCUGGCUGCCGUCUGGCCCGUGACAGAUGACGGAGGGUCGGUGCUCAUUAUCAAUGUGCGCUGGGUAUUUAUUUCUCACUCAGGAAAGUAACCCUUGCUUCCCCCCCUGAAUUUAUUUAAAAAGAGAUUUUUGUAGCUCAGCAUUAGGUGAAUUUCACUCACGUUUGUUUUCCACGUUUCCCAGGGACGAGGGACAAGCUUGGGCUUUGUGGGGCGUUUCCAUGAUCAAUAACGUAGUUCCUCUUGGAAUUCUCGCCGUGCUACAGGAACCGUUACGUCGAACACCUUCCCGUCAGCAGCCGUGAACGGGCUGACCCACGGCAGAACGGAAGUGACCAGCAGCUCCCGUGAGCUGA
rnacentral:lncRNA from 1 species